UACGGGGGGGGCAAGCGUUGUUCGGAAUUACUGGGCGUAAAGAGCUCGUAGGCGGUUUGUCGCGUUGUUCGUGAAAACUCACAACUCAAUUGUGGGCGUGCGGGCGAUACGGGCAGACUGGAGUACUGCAGGGGAGACUGGAAUUCCUGGUGUAGCGGUGGAAUGCGCAGAUAUCAGGAGGAACACCGGUGGCGAAGGCGGGUCUCUGGGCAGUAACUGACGCUGAGGAGCGAAAGCGUGGGGAGCGAACAGG
rnacentral:rRNA from 1 species